UAGGGAAUCUUCGGCAAUGGGGGCAACCCUGACCGAGCAACGCCGCGUGAGUGAAGAAGGUUUUCGGAUCGUAAAGCUCUGUUGUAAGAGAAGAACGUGUGUGAGAGUGGAAAGUUCACACAGUGACGGUAACUUACCAGAAAGGGACGGCUAACUACGUGCCAGCAGCCGCGGUAAUACGUAGGUCCCGAGCGUUGUCCGGAUUUAUUGGGCGUAAAGCGAGCGCAGGCGGUUUAAUAAGUCUGAAGUUAAAGGCAGUGGCUUAACCAUUGUUCGCUUUGGAAACUGUUAAACUUGAGUGCAGAAGGGGAGAGUGGAAUUCCAUGUGUGGCGGUGAGAUGCGUAGAUAUAUGGAGGAACACCGGUGGCGAAAGCGGCUCUCUGGUCUGUAACUGACGCUGAGGCUCGAAAGCGUGGGGAGCAAACAGG
rnacentral:rRNA from 1 species